UACGUAGGGUGCGAGCGUUGUCCGGAAUUACUGGGCGUAAAGAGCUCGUAGGUGGUUUGUCGCGUUGUCCGUGAAAAACUCACAACUCAAUUGUGGGCGUGCGGGCGAUACGGGCAGACUGGAGUACUGCAGGGGAGACUGGAAUUCCUGGUGUAGCGGUGAAAUGCGCAGAUAUCAGGAGGAACACCGGUGGCGAAGGCGGUUCUCUGGGCAUUACCUGACGCUGAGGAGCGAAAGUGUGGGGGAGCGAACAGG
rnacentral:rRNA from 1 species